rnacentral:rRNA from 1 species
UAGGGAAUCUUCGGCAAUGGACGAAAGUCUGACCGAGCAACGCCGCGUGAGUGAAGAAGGUUUUCGGAUCGUAAAACUCUGUUGUUAGAGAAGAACAAGGACGUUAGUAACUGAACGUCCCCUGACGGUAUCUAACCAGAAAGCCACGGCUAACUACGUGCCAGCAGCCGCGGUAAUACGUAGGUGGCAAGCGUUGUCCGGAUUUAUUGGGCGUAAAGCGAGCGCAGGCGGUUUCUUAAGUCUGAUGUGAAAGCCCCCGGCUCAACCGGGGAGGGUCAUUGGAAACUGGGAGACUCGAGUGCAGAAGAGGGGAGUGGAAUUCCAUGUGUAGCGGUGAAAUGCGUAGAUAUAUGGAAGAACACCAGUGGCGAAGGCGGCUCUCUGGUCUGUAACUGACGCUGAGGCUCGAAAGAGUGGGGAGCAAACAGG